rnacentral:rRNA from 1 species
AGAGUUUGAUCCUGGCUCAGGAUGAACGCCGGCGGCGUGCCUAAUACAUGCAAGUCGAGCGAACGGACGAGAAGCUUGCUUCUCUGAUGUUAGCGGCGGACGGGUGAGUAACACGUGGAUAACCUACCUAUAAGACUGGGAUAACUUCGGGAAACCGGAGCUAAUACCGGAUAAUAUUUUGAACCGCAUGGUUCAAAAGUGAAAGACGGUCUUGCUGUCACUUAUAGAUGGAUCCGCGCUGCAUUAGCUAGUUGGUAAGGUAACGGCUUACCAAGGCAACGAUGCAUAGCCGACCUGAGAGGGUGAUCGGCCACACUGGAACUGAGACACGGUCCAGACUCCUACGGGAGGCAGCAGUAGGGAAUCUUCCGCAAUGGGCGAAAGCCUGACGGAGCAACGCCGCGUGAGUGAUGAAGGUCUUCGGAUCGUAAAACUCUGUUAUUAGGGAAGAACGUAUGUGUAAGUAACUGUGCACAUCUUGACGGUACCUAAUCAGAAAGCCACGGCUAACUACGUGCCAGCAGCCGCGGUAAUACGUAGGUGGCAAGCGUUAUCCGGAAUUAUUGGGCGUAAAGCGCGCGUAGGCGGUUUUUUAAGUCUGAUGUGAAAGCCCACGGCUCAACCGUGGAGGGUCAUUGGAAACUGGAAAACUUGAGUGCAGAAGAGGAAAGUGGAAUUCCAUGUGUAGCGGUGAAAUGCGCAGAGAUAUGGAGGAACACCAGUGGCGAAGGCGACUUUCUGGUCUGUAACUGACGCUGAUGUGCGAAAGCGUGGGGAUCAAACAGGAUUAGAUACCCUGGUAGUCCACGCCGUAAACGAUGAGUGCUAAGUGUUAGGGGGUUUCCGCCCCUUAGUGCUGCAGCUAACGCAUUAAGCACUCCGCCUGGGGAGUACGACCGCAAAGUUGAAACUCAAAGGAAUUGACGGGGACCCGCACAAGCGGUGGAGCAUGUGGUUUAAUUCGAAGCAACGCGAAGAACCUUACCAAAUCUUGACAUCCUUUGACAACUCUAGAGAUAGAGCCUUCCCCUUCGGGGGACAAAGUGACAGGUGGUGCAUGGUUGUCGUCAGCUCGUGUCGUGAGAUGUUGGGUUAAGUCCCGCAACGAGCGCAACCCUUAAGCUUAGUUGCCAUCAUUAAGUUGGGCACUCUAAGUUGACUGCCGGUGACAAACCGGAGGAAGGUGGGGAUGACGUCAAAUCAUCAUGCCCCUUAUGAUUUGGGCUACACACGUGCUACAAUGGACAAUACAAAGGGUAGCGAAACCGCGAGGUCAAGCAAAUCCCAUAAAGUUGUUCUCAGUUCGGAUUGUAGUCUGCAACUCGACUACAUGAAGCUGGAAUCGCUAGUAAUCGUAGAUCAGCAUGCUACGGUGAAUACGUUCCCGGGUCUUGUACACACCGCCCGUCACACCACGAGAGUUUGUAACACCCGAAGCCGGUGGAGUAACCUUUUAGGAGCUAGCCGUCGAAGGUGGGACAAAUGAUUGGGGUGAAGUCGUAACAAGGUAACC